UUUUAUCAGUUUCCAUAAUCU
rnacentral:piRNA from 1 species